GGGAAUAACUGCUCAUUUUUCAUUUUUUAAAAUUGUUUAAACCCUUUUUACCUUAUUUGUUAUUGUUGUGAAUAACUAUAGUAUGAUGGCUAUAUUAUUGUUUACUUAAUAUAUAUAUCUCCAAAGUUUAUAGCAAUAUUCCUAACUCAAGCAGAGAAGCUUGUUUGCAAGUGAGAACUCAAGGAUAGACUCAGGAAUGCUUAUUAAUUACUUGAUUCUUAAGACUUUAGCAUGAUUGUUACAGUGUUUCAUUCAUAUUUUCCGAGAGAAUAAUGCCUUUACAUAUUCACUAUGAAUAUUUUUAAAUGCGAAUACUUGUAGACAUAGUCUUAUAUUUUGUUGUGCACUAAGUGCUAGAUCAUCAUUUAGUAUUCAGCUUUAAUCUUCUCCUAACAGUCCAGCAGAGUUCAAUGACAGGCUACCCUGGGUUCCAUGGCUGAGCCAUCUUCCUCCUCUUUCUUACCCGAAGUUAUGCUCCUGAACUUAUACUUGGCAACUGACAAAGAAUCAUUUUCUUCCAUCACCACCUGAAGCCCUGCACCAUACUGCAAGGCUUCGGAUACUAGCCAGCAGUCUUUUUAUUCCUCUGAACAUAACCAAAAGAUGUCUAAGCCAAGGAAUUAACAAGAUAACAUAUGAAAACACCAAGCCCAGUAGUUGGCACAUGGUAGGGCCUACAGAUGGCAGCUACUAGUGCCAUUAUUGCCUGGGAAAGUCUGUAAGGGGACUCCAGAGAAUUAAUCACCUGUUCCCUGGUCUUGUUCCCUAAUUAACUGGAAUUGGACAUGUCUAUUCAUGGUCAAACUUAGCUAAAAUGGUGACAAAAUUGCUUAAUUUUUUUUUAUCCCCUCUGCUCUGUUGUUCUUAGUUUGCUCUUUUCUGUACUCUUAUACCCCCACCCCUCCUUACUCUUCAAUUCUAAAUUAUAGGCAAAUUCUUCUCAAAGUAGAGAUAACAGUAUUACCCAGGUUUGGAGGUAGCCUUAUUCCCUUCUGUCUUUUGUUCUCCCUAUUUUUCUUCUAUAUAGGAAAUAAGAUUUUAUCUCUUUGUCCAGUUAACAGAAAUAUUUAAAUUUGGCUAAAUGAAGUCCAAUUAUAAUUGUUCCCACUUAUGUUCCCUAUCUGACAUUCUCUAGUCAAAAGGAUUGCAUUAACUUCAGCCUGGCCCAGGUGAAUUUCAAGAUUCCAAAAUUAAGAUUCAUUGAGUUUAUGUUCUAAUAAUGAUGUUAUAAAUAUUGUAUAUUUUUAAAAAAUGAGGUACUAUAUUAAAUGGCUCAUGCAUAUGACAUAUAUGCAUACAUUUGUACAUUCAUAAAUAUGUGUGUACAUAUUAUAUAUUUGUUUGCCUGUGACAGAUUUGACUUGCUUCUGCUUAUUUUGGCAUGAACUUGGCAUUUGUGUGCAUCACCACUGAGUAUUUUACGUAGUAUACUUUAGGCUAAAUUAUCAUAAAAAAUUAUUUGACUGGUAGAUGCCACAUUCCAGCUAGAGAAGUUGAGGCAUUCGUGUCUUUCUCAUUCUUAUUGUUGCUUGCCCAAAGCUUACAGACUGGAUACUUUUAAAAUCAAGUCACAUAUUCUCCUCAAAUUUAUUCUGAAAAGCUUAUUGAUAACUUAUUUUUGAAAGCUUUAUUUUAGCCUAUGUAAAAAACUAAAUUUUCUUUCAUAUACUUAUAAAUGUACUAUGAUACACAGAGAAUUAUAGUGAUUCAUUUCAUGAUUUUUGCAUAGUAGAAUAGUAGGCAUUGUCUCUCCAUAUGGCAGCUCUUUGCUGCCAAAAAUUUUAUGGUGUUAGGGAAUAGCAAAGGGAUAUACCAAAAGGUGCCUCGGCUUUGGUUGGCAUAGAGCAUGUUACAGCAGUGGUGUAUAAAUUUAGAGUUAUAUAGGUUCUUGCUUACAGCAUAGUAUAUAGGGAUACUCAAAUGUUUUGUCACUGAGUUAGGAAAAUAGAUGAUAGUGCAAAUCUACAUUAUAUACUAAUAUAUUUACUCUGAGGACAGAAUAAAAACUUAUAUCAAGGGUAUUAAUGUACAAUUACAAAUGGUUCUGCAAAAUUGGCAAUGCAAAUGAAUUGUGUUAUGGACAAGCGUCUUUGUGAAUUUGUUUUUUCUCCAAAAAUCUGUUAAUUGUUAAAUGUUUUAUUUCUUUAAUAGAUGAGGAUGGUCCCACUUGUGAAUCGUUAGCCUUAUCAGUAUUUUCAUUCAGAAUGGUUCUGUAGUAUUAUCUAUGUUUAGAGAAUAUUCAUACACUUUGAAAAUGUGGAAAUUAUGAUAUUUCAAAUCAGACCUCACCCACCAGUGUGAGUCCUAGCUGCAGCACUCAUUAGCUGUGUAAUUUAGGCAAGUUAGUUGACCUCUCUCGAUUUCAGGUUCUUCAUCUGUUUUUUUAAAAAAUGAAAGCAGGGGAGUUCUUAUCCUGAUUAGUGGUAAGGCUUAACUUUUAUCUACUCCAUCCUUCCCUCCUUCCUGGAGCACUGUCCGCACUCGGUUCCCAGGACACAGCCUCUGUUGCUUUCCCCACCUUGCUGAAUGCACUUUCUAUUUCCUUGGCCAAGAAACUAACUGCUAAAUGUUGAGACCAGGACUCUGGUCUAUUCUUUUCUUUAGAUGAUCUCAUACCCCAUGGCUUUAACUUCCAUGUUUUAGACCAAUUUAAAUCCCGGCCCCAAUCUCUCAUCUGAGAUCCAGACUCACAUUUCUAAUGGCCUACUUUACAUCACUGUAUCACAAUAGAGAUGUAGAAAUCAGAACUCCAAAACAUAUACCCGAAGAUGACCCCUAUCUGAAGCUCCCUCAGCUUCAUAAAUGUCCUCAUCUUUUCAGACCCCACAUCUGGGACUUAGCCUUGAUUCCUCUCUUUUCUACACUGACUAUCCCAGCAAGUCAAUGAAUUUCCCCUUCAAAAUCUGACCACUUCCCCCACUUCCAGAGCUAUCCUGGUUGAGAAUACCAUCAUCUUCACCAGGCCUCAGCAGCAGCCUUCUCACUUGUUUCUGUAUAUACUUGUCCGCCAAAGACUGGUUAUCACAUGGAAAACCAGGUGGUGUUUUAACAUGUAAAUUACAGCAUGGUAUUCCCAAGACCAUUCAAUGGCUUACUGUCACACUUGGACUAAAAUCCGAAACCUUUUCCAUGGUCUGCAAGGCCCUACCUGAUGUUUUUCUAGCCCACCACUCUAUCCAGUGUCUGCCUUGCUGACUUCACCAUGGCCACAUUAGACUCUUUUCUGCUAUAGAAUAUGCUGGAUUUUCAUCUUGAUCCCUCUGCUUUUGCUGUGCCCUCUCCCUCAGACAUUUCACCUGCACAGCUUCAUAUGGCUCACUCCUUGGCUUCAUUCAGGGACAUGCUCAGAUGUCCUCUCUGCUAAGAGCCUUCUCUGGACAAACUUAAACAGAUCAAGCAAACAAAACUGUUAUUAUCUCUUUAUAUCUUUAUUUUACCUGAAAUUACCUUGUAUUUAGUGUUCAUAUAUUAUUUUUUUCUCCCUAAUUAGAGGGUGAGUUCCACAAGGACAGAUUAUCUUUUAUGUUUUGCUAUUUCACGAACACCUAAAAUAUACCCGAUAAAUAUUUGCUGAAUAUAUAAAUUGAAUAAAAUGACAUUUAAAAAAGAUCUUAACAGAGUGCUUAAAGAAGAGUUCAAUAAGUGUUAAUUUUCAUUGCCAUUCUCAUUCUCAAGUAAAUUACUUUGAAAUAACUCCUCUGUAAAGCUGUAGUUUGGAUAGUCACUUUGUAGAAACAUUAAAAAAUGUUCAAAAUCUGUAUUUGGUUUUUACAAUAUUAAUGCCACCAAAAGACAGCUGAGAUAGUAGAAAACUGUGACCCAGUUUCAAAUCCUGACUUCAUCACUCUCUCAGCUGUUAACCAAAGAUGAGUCAAUUCAAUUCUGAACCAUUCUUUCAUUACCAAAGAAAUGCAGUUAAUAAUUACUUCAAAAGAUUUUUUUU